CGCGGCCUAUCAGCUUGUUGGUGAGGUAAUGGCUCACCAAGGCGUCGACGGGUAGCCGGCCUGAGAGGGUGACCGGCCACACUGGGACUGAGACACGGCCCAGACUCCUACGGGAGGCAGCAGUGGGGAAUAUUGCACAAUGGGCGCAAGCCUGAUGCAGCAACGCCGCGUGAGGGACGACGGCCUUCGGGUUGUAAACCUCUUUUAGCAGGGAAGAAGCGAAAGUGACGGUACCUGCAGAAAAAGCGCCGGCUAACUACGUGCCAGCAGCCGCGGUAAUACGUAGGGCGCAAGCGUUAUCCGGAAUUAUUGGGCGUAAAGAGCUCGUAGGCGGUUUGUCGCGUCUGCUGUGAAAUCCGGAGGCUCAACCUCCGGCCUGCAGUGGGUACGGGCAGACUAGAGUGCGGUAGGGGAGAUUGGAAUUCCUGGUGUAGCGGUGGAAUGCGCAGAUAUCAGGAGGAACACCGAUGGCGAAGGCAGAUCUCUGGGCCGUAACUGACGCUGAGGAGCGAAAGGGUGGGGAGCAAACAGGCUUAGAUACCCUGGUAGUCCACCCCGUAAACGUUGGGAACUAGUUGUGGGGUCCAUUCCACGGAUUCCGUGACGCAGCUAACGCAUUAAGUUCCCCGCCUGGGGAGUACGG
rnacentral:rRNA from 2 species